rnacentral:SRP_RNA from 11 species
AGGAAGGCAGCAGCCUCCGGGGUAAUCUUGCCGGCGCCCUUGGUUGCC